rnacentral:rRNA from 1 species
UACGGAGGGAGCUAGCGUUGUUCGGAAUUACUGGGCGUAAAGCGCACGUAGGCGGCUUUGUAAGUUAGAGGUGAAAGCCCGGGGCUCAACUCCGGAAUUGCCUUUAAGACUGCAUCGCUUGAAUCCAGGAGAGGUGAGUGGAAUUCCGAGUGUAGAGGUGAAAUUCGUAGAUAUUCGGAAGAACACCAGUGGCGAAGGCGGCUCACUGGACUGGUAUUGACGCUGAGGCGCGAAAGCUAGGGGAGCAAACGGG